GGAGAACAUCUUAGACUUGGAGACUUGGAACCAGAGAUACCCAUAGAGAGAGAGGAAAUAGGGUUUACCCA